AAAACACGAACGAACGCUGGCGGCGUGCCUAACACAUGCAAGUCGAACGUGAUCCGCCCUUCGGGGUGGUGAAAGUGGCGCACGGGUGAGUAACGCGUGGAUAAUCUGCCCGAGGAUUUGGGAUAACAUCUCGAAAGGGGUGCUAAUACCGAAUAAGCCCACGGGGUCUACGGAUCUUGCGGGAAAAGGGGGGGACCUUCGGGCCUCCUGUCCUUGGAUGAGUCUGCGUACCAUUAGCUAGUUGGUGGGGUAAUGGCCUACCAAGGCGACGAUGGUUAGCUGGUCUGAGAGGAUGAUCAGCCACACUGGAACUGAGACACGGUCCAG
rnacentral:rRNA from 1 species